GGCAGUAUAGUGUAGUGGUUUUAUUGUUGGACUGCAACUCUGGAGACCAGGGUUCAAAACUUGGUUCAGCCA